rnacentral:rRNA from 1 species
AGGGUUCGAUUCUGGCUCAGGAUGAACGCUAGCGGCAGGCUUAACACAUGCAAGUCGAGGGGCAGCGGGAUGUAGCAAUACAUUGCCGGCGACCGGCGGAUGGGUGCGUAACGCGUAUGCAACCUACCUUAUACAGGGGAAUAACCUUUCGAAAGGGAGACUAACACCCCAUAGUAUUGAUUUAAGGCAUCUUAGAUUAAUUAAAUAUUUAUAGGUAUAAGAUGGGCAUGCGUAUGAUUAGCUAGUUGGUAAGGUAACGGCUUACCAAGGCGACGAUCAUUAGGGGUUCUGAGAGGAAGGUCCCCCACACUGGUACUGAGACACGGACCAGACUCCUACGGGAGGCAGCAGUGAGGAAUAUUGGUCAAUGGGCGCAAGCCUGAACCAGCCAUGCCGCGUGCAGGAAAGACGGCCUUAUGGGUUGUAAACUGCUUUUACAUAAGACUAACCGUAUAUUUGCGAAUAUACCUGAAUGUAUUAUGAGAAUAAGGAUCGGCCAACUCCGUGCCAGCCGCAGC